UACGGGGGGGGCAAGCGUUGUUCGGAAUUACUGGGCGUAAAGGGCUCGUAGGUGGCCAACUAAGUCAGACGUGAAAUCCCUCAGCUUAACUGGGGAACUGCGUCUGAUACUGGAUGGCUUGAGUUUGGGAGAGGGACGCGGAAUUCCAGGUGUAGCGGUGAAAUGCGUAGAUAUCUGGAGGAACACCGGUGGCGAAGGCGGCGUCCUGGACCAACACUGACACUGAUGAGCGAAAGCCAGGGGAGCAAACGGG
rnacentral:rRNA from 1 species